UAGCCUGGCUGAGGGGUCAGUCCGGGGGUUUCUGACAGCAAUAAACAGCUUCAGUAAGCAUCGCCUCUCGUCCGUCUCCAAGAGGCUGUCUUCUUUUGCGAGCACCAAAGUACGACCCUUGGAAUGGCCCUGUUCGUCUAGAGGCCUGGGCUCCCCCAGCCAGCCCCCCCAUCGCCCCCGGCCUGGCAGGACACAGGCCAAAUCCUACGUUGAAAGGUCACAUGAUCUCCCCCCUGAUGAGACGAUACAGGGCUCUGUGCCUGGACCCCCACCCCCCCGCCCCAGUGUGGUCCUCACGAGAUCACAAUAAAGGAACCGCCUCCCCCUGCAGAGAAAGACACCAGCUUUGGCCAAUUAUCCCAGGACCUUACAGACCUUGAAGCCCGGAGGUGGGCUCGUUCUAGAAACCAGAGGCAAAGGGGGAUCCUGCUCCUGCCUUCAAAUAAGCAAAGAGCGUCUAGCCCGAGUUUACAAAAGGCAGCUAAGGUCCAGGGUGGUUGUGCGGCCUGCCCGCGGUCACAGAGCAGGCAGCACACAGGAGAGUUCCCAGGACACAUAAGGGCAGUCCGAGAUCCCCGUUUCUCCUGCCGAGACAGUCCGUGCCGACCACCCUCGGGAGACAGACGGACACCUGGGGGCCCUGUCACCUCCCCAAGCCUCAGCGCUUCCUUGGUGACACGGAGGGACAAGCACAUCUCCCACCCCCUAGGCUUGUCCAACCAAUCAGGCCUGCGCAAACGCCCAGCCCGUGACAAACGUUCAGCCAAUACAGCUAUGGCUAUUUUUGUUGUUGUUGAACCUGAAGAGAUGGGAACGAAAAAAAUAGCAGAGUGCUCUGCGGGAAGCUGCCUAUUCGGAGCUGGCCACCUUGGCUCCCCCUCCUUUCGGCGCCCAGGGAGGCCCGGAGAUGCCCAGCACUUACCCAGGACGCUAAGUUGGAAGUGUUUGGUCUUCUCCCCUACGGCACUGGCUGCAAUGCAGGAGUAGUGGCCAGAACUAGACAGGUCGGCCUGGACGAUCUGCAGGAGAGCUCCGUCUGGAGAAACGCGAAUUUUCUAGAUGUCUACAAGGCUGCGGUAUUUAAUUGCAUCGCUGCAGGACAAGUCUCUGGAGACAGGUUCCCGUUAUGUGCAGGAACCUCACAGAGGUUUGUCCAGAUAA